AACGAACGCUGGCGGCAGGCUUAACACAUGCAAGUCGAGCGCCCCGCAAGGGGAGCGGCAGACGGGUGAGUAACACGUGGGAACAUACCCAUCUCUGCGGAACAACUCCGGGAAACUGGAGCUAAUACCGCAUACGCCCUUAGGGGGAAAGAUUUAUCGGAGAUGGAUUGGCCCGCGUUGGAUUAGCUAGUUGGUGGGGUAAAGGCCUACCAAGGCGACGAUCCAUAACUGGUCUGAGAGGAUGAUCAGCCACAUUGGGACUGAGACACGGCCCAAACUCCUACGGGAGGCAGCAGUGGGGAAUAUUGGACAAUGGGCGCAAGCCUGAUCCAGCCAUGCCGCGUGAGUGAUGAAGGCCUUAGGGUUGUAAAGCUCUUUCACCGAUGAAGAUAAUGACGGUAGUCGGAGAAGAAGCCCCGGCUAACUUCGUGCCAGCCGCCGCUGUAACAC
rnacentral:rRNA from 1 species